GAAGUCUCAUCUCGGUCCCCUCUUCCCUAGACUAAAUAAGCCCAGUUCCCCUAGUCUUUCCUCAUAAGUCAUGCUGGAACACCUUGCUUCCAGUGCUGCUAAGGGGUUGGCAGGGGAAGGAGAAGGCCACAUGCCACAAGUAUGCCUUGAUGGCUGUCAGUCCUCCCUACCGCAAUCCUAGGGAUUCUGAGGUGUGUGUCCAUACCACUUCAGACUGUGGGCAGGGCAGGGAGGGAUGGGGGAAGGUUCAAGGUGGUGCCCCCUAGCAUAGUCUGGUAUGGUAUAGAUGUGCCUUCGGAAGGCCCAAUACUCACAGCAGUUCAGUAGUUUGCUGGGGGCAGCACUGGCCACAAUGCAGAGCACCCCAAGAAUGCCAAGAACCCAAGGUAACAUCCUGCCUUCUCUUUGGGGCUCACGGUUCUUGACAGGACAGAACUUUUAAGUCCCAGAGAACCUCAGCAGCCUGUGUGUGACACAGUGCCUUUGGCAUCAUCCUUUAUAUGCAUUCUCCAGCACAACUCCCAUCCCCCUCCAUAUCUUUCUCCUCCAGUUCUGAUACUAUUCAACCUUAUUUGCUUAUGUCAGUUGCCAACAACAUGGACUCUCAAGGGUGUUGCAAGGUGAGGUUGAGAACAUAUCCAGGAGUUGGGAGCAGGAGGGGGUCAAGGACACUGCUAGCAAAGGGGAAGAAGGUACCAGAACACUACUGCAGCCCAUCCUUUGGAGAGCAGGUGCAGUUUUUCUGGCCUGUUUCCAUAAGAAGAUUGUGGGAGGUGAUCAAAAUGGUGACUACAGGUUUCCUUCAUGUUAUGCGGUACAUGUAUUCCCAGAAAACUGCGCAUAACUCAAAUUUGCAUAAGGGGAACCCAGUUUAUAAGUUCUUCCCUCAAAAUCUCAAGAAACUAAGAAACCUAGAUGGGUGCAUGAGGACAUGAUAUGAAAGAAUUGAUCAGCAAGGCCAUAUGUACUCCAAGACAAACCAGACCUAAGUGCUAUACAAGACCCCGCUUCUCCUGAAGUUUCUCUAGCCUUUAGAGCCAGAGACUAGCAGUUUUGUGGCAGCAAUGUGGAAAUUGAGUCCAACAGGACAGUUUUUCCUUAUUUUACUGUUGUAAUUGACCCCAAGCAGUAGACACCUUGAUAUACAUUGAGCUGUUUUGGAAUUUCAGUAGUACCCCAGGCAUGCCUCAAACACUUAGCCAGGCAACAGAGGUGUUUUUGCUGCCAGGCUCAUAGAGUUUAGCACAUGCCGCUGGAGGAAAAAGAUCAUUGUCUAGGGCUGAUAAAAGAGAAGGGGAACCCGGGCUGUUACUGCUAUUCACAUCAGCAGAGCUUAGAUAUGUCCUUUUUCUGGGAAGGGGUAGGAUCACAGGAAUGUAGGGUUGGAAGGGACCUCAUAAGGCCAUCUAGUCCAGCCCCCCGCUCAAGACAGGAUUGUCUCUGAUGAGCCAUCCCACUCAACUGUCUCUCUACCUUGGUCUUGCCGACUUCCAGGGAUGAAGAGUCCAGAACUUCUCUGGGUAGCUUGUUCCAAGGCUUGACCACCCUCAUAGCCAGAAAGUUCCUCCUAAUCUCCAGCCUAAAUUUCCUCUGCUGCAUCUUGAGGCCAUUCCUCCUAGUCCUGUCCCCAACAGCCACAGAGAAGCAUUUAUUUCUAUCCUCUUCGUAAUCAUCCUUUUGGUAUUUGAAGACUGUCAUCAAAUAAAAGUGGGUAAAGGGAGCUCAGUGGAGACUCAGUGUUACAUCUGCAAAGGGGAUAUGGAAUCAGUAUUGUUACACCCAACUCCUAUACAUAGCACUACCUAAUGGAAUCCACCGCCCUAGGGUAGGUGCCCAGACCCCUCCCCAGCUCUUCCACAAAAUGGGUACCAGCCAUCAUCAGCUUUUUAACCAGCUUCCCCUCCUACCCAAAGUGCAGGAUACCUCUGUCCCACCAAUGGGUCCACACUGAAUGCUUCAAGAAGGAAUGGGUGUUCACAGAAAUGUGCUUAUCAAGGGCUGAGCAUUCAGUAGCCCUCUUAUUUAAAGCAUAGGCUACCUUUUCAUCAUUAAAGUAAGUUGGACUUUUAAAUCAGUAAAAUCUUUCUGGAAGCAUUUUCCCCAAUCCUCUAAGAAGCCACCUUGCAACUAUGUACAAACACAUGAGCAACACAUCAUGUGCAAGGCAUUUCAUCAGGCACAAGCAUUGUUAACUCCCAAGGAUUCCAAAAGUCAUCGUCAAACAGCAUUAAUGGUGUAGCAAACUUGGAGCAUGUCUGCAGGGGUCACAAAAUGGGACUGUAGAUACAGAAAGGGCUCUUACACUGCAAGGUGUGGCAGUCUCUCUGGUUCUUGAAUGGGUGGCUCUGCCCUUCCAGUCCUGCAGAGUGUCAGGAGAUACCAUUUUAGGGAGUGUGAUGCAUCUCUUGUUGGCUUUUGCACAGCCUUUGUAAAGAGGUGGCUUCUUUGUCAUUUUAUCAUACAGAGCAGGGAUACUUCCAGUGGGGGGGGCUGCCUGCGGAAGUGUGGACACAAUUAUAUGCCUGUCCUCAGCAGAACCCUCGCACCACUCCAUACAAUACCUUGAUUAAGCAUUUAGUUUGGAGCCAGGCUGUACUGUACCUGGCCCCUUGUUGACCCCAUGGCCUAAACCCGUUUGCUGGCCCUACAGACUAUGGCUCAACACAGCCAUCAUCAUGUGGAAUGAAAUACAGCACAGCAGCUAUGCAGCAAGGCCUGCAUCAUGAUUAGCCAGCUCCCUACUAGAAAAAAUCUCUGUGAUCUUAGGUGGUGCUAUGCAACAUAACCUCAAGGAGCAAGGCAGGGAUGGAAGAAAGGGACUUUUCAUCUCUAGAGUCCUCCAAGCCUGGGAAAAGGCCCUGAGGACAGCAUCUCAAAACCAUAGGACCAAAAUUAGUUUAUCUUUGCUCCCAUGGAAAUAGGGCAAAAACAAUAACCACAGAUUAUCUUUCUUUGCUGACAAAGGGCAGCACCCCCAAUGCCUAGGAUGCCAGUGAUAACCAUUUCUCAGCACCUGGUAAAUCUGGGAGAUAACAAGAAGAGGACAAAGGAAGACAUGUCUCUAGAGCAGGUGGAAGCUUCCAAAAUGUGGGAAAGCUGCUCAGGAAUAAAGAGGAUUUCUUAGGCAAGACACAGAAAAUGACAGAAGGGAAGCAGAAGGGCAGAGAGGCCCAGAAAGGUGGUGAUGGUAACCAAGGAGCCAGCAGAGAAAGCAGCUCAGGAGCUGAUUGAAAAGGAACUCAGAAUGGGAGAAGUGGAGCCUGGCUGUGACCGAGCAGACUGGAGCUAUGAGCAGGGAGGUGCAGAGGCAGCUGACAAUGAUGCUACUGGAGCAUGGUCUACCCAAGCUGCUGCUUGCCUUAUACCAUCUUCCCUAUCAGCACCACACUGCUGCACAGUGGCCUCAGGGCCUACCAGUCCUGCUGCUCUUGACUCUACAGAACAUGUCCUUUUGGGAGCUGGGGAUCACCAAUAAGGCACCCUGCUUCAGCUCCUACAAACCUGGCAAGAAGCUGGGCUCCUUUGAACCAAUCCAAACAGGGAGUUGGUGCCACACUACAGCCAUGCCACAAAUUCUCUUACUGGCCUCCCAUAGGAAGACAGGUUUCUGUGACUGUGUCUUUCCACUUCAAGCUUUUAACUUAAAUGUACCUUGUCCUUAACUUACACCUCUGCUAUUUGUUUAGUUAUCAGUGUUCUCACUGUUUAAACUUCAGUCACUUUUUGUUCUGUUUGCAUUUUUAGGACAAUAAAGUCAA